rnacentral:sRNA from 1 species
CUUGGUCAUUUAGAGGAAGUAAAAGUCGUAACAAGGUCUCCGUAGGUGAACCUGCGGAGGGAUCAUUACAAGUGACCCCGGUCUAACCACCGGGAUGUUCAUAACCCUUUGUUGUCCGACUCUGUUGCCUCCGGGGCGACCCUGCCUUCGGGCGGGGGCUCCGGGUGGACACUUCAAACUCUUGCGUAACUUCGCAGUCUGAGUAAACUUAAUUAAUAAAUUAAAACUUUUAACAACGGAUCUCUUGGUUCUGGCAUCGAUGAAGAACGCAGCGAAAUGCGAUAAGUAAUGUGAAUUGCAGAAUUCAGUGAAUCAUCGAAUCUUUGAACGCACAUUGCGCCCCCUGGUAUUCCGGGGGGCAUGCCUGUUCGAGCGUCAUUUCACCACUCAAGCCUCGCUUGGUAUUGGGCAACGCGGUCCGCCGCGUGCCUCAAAUCGACCGGCUGGGUCUUCUGUCCCCUAAGCGUUGUGGAAACUAUUCGCUAAAGGGUGUUCGGGAGGCUACGCCGUAAAACAACCCCAUUUCUAAGGUUGACCUCGGAUCAGGUAGGGAUACCCGCUGAACUUAAGCAUAUCAAUAAGCGGAGGAAAAGAAACCAACAGGGAUUGCUCUAGUAACGGCGAGUGAAGCAGCAAUAGCUCAAAUUUGAAAUCUGGCGUCUUCGACGUCCGAGUUGUAAUUUGUAGAGGAUGCUUCUGAGUAACCACCGACCUAAGUUCCUUGGAACAGGACGUCAUAGAGGGUGAGAAUCCCGUAUGCGGUCGGAAAGGUGCUCUAUACGUAGCUCCUUCGACGAGUCGAGUUGUUUGGGAAU